rnacentral:rRNA from 1 species
AUUGAACGCUGGCGGCAGACCUAACACAUGCAAGUCGAGCGAGCGGCGGACGGGUGAGUAAUGUCUGGGAAACUGCCUGGUAGUGGGGGAUAACGUCCGGAAACGGGCGCUAAUACCGCAUACCAUCAGAUGUGCCCAGAUGGGAUUAGCUAGUUGGUGGGGUAACGGCUCACCUAGGCGACGAUCCCUAGCUGGUCUGAGAGGAUGACCAGCAAAACUGGAACUGAGACACGGUCCCAACUCCGAGGGGAGGCAGCAGUGGGGAAUAUUGCACAAUGGGGGCAAGCCUGAUGCAGCCAUGCCGGGUGUGUGAAGAAGGCCUUCGGGUUGUAAAGAACUUUCAGCGGGGAGGCGUUACCCGCAGAAGAAGAACCGGCUAACUCCGUGCCAGCAGCCGCGUAAUAC